GAUGAACGCUGGCGGCGUGCCUAAUACAUGCAAGUCGAGCGAACGGACGAGAAGCUUGCUUCUCUGGUGUUAGCGGCGGACGGGUGAGUAACACGUGGAUAACCUACCUAUAAGGCUGGGAUAACUUCGGGAAACCGGAGCUAAUACCGGAUAAUAUUUUGAACCGCAUGGUUCAAAAGUGAAAGACGGUCUUGCUGUCACUUAUAGAUGGAUCCGCGCUGCAUUAGCUAGUUGGUAAGGUAACGGCUUACCAAGGCAACGAUGCAUAGCCGACCUGAGAGGGUGAUCGGCCACACUGGAACUGAGACACGGUCCAGACUCCUACGGGAGGCAGCAGUAGGGAAUCUUCCGCAAUGGGCGAAAGCCUGACGGAGCAACGCCGCGUGAGUGAUGAAGGUCUUCGGAUCGUAAAACUCUGUUAUUAGGGAAGAACAUAUGUGUAAGUAACUGUGCACAUCUUGACGGUACCUAAUCAGAAAGCCACGGCUAACUACGUG
rnacentral:rRNA from 1 species